rnacentral:rRNA from 1 species
GACGUAGGGCGCGAGCGUUGUCCGGAUUUAUUGGGCGUAAAGAGCUCGUAGGCGGCUUGUCGCGUCGAAUGUGAAAACCUGCAGCUCAACUGCAGGCUUGCAUUCGAUACGGGCAGGCUCGAGUUCGGUAGGGGAGACUGGAAUUCCUGGUGUAGCGGUGAAAUGCGCAGAUAUCAAGUGGAACACCAGUGGCGAAGGCGAGUCUCUGGACAUUUGCUGACGCUGAGGCACGAAAGCCAGGGGAGCAAACGGG